rnacentral:rRNA from 1 species
GACGAACGCUGGCGGCGUGCUUAACACAUGCAAGUCGAACGGAAAGGCCCUGCUUUUGUGGGGUGCUCGAGUGGCGAACGGGUGAGUAACACGUGAGUAACCUGCCCUUGACUUUGGGAUAACUUCAGGAACCUGGGGCUAAUACCGGAUCGGGGCUCCUGCUGCAUGGUGGGGGUUGGAAAGUUUCGGCGGUUGGGGAUGGACUCGCGGCUUAUCAGCUUGUUGGUGGGGUAGUGGCUUACCAAGGCUUUGACGGGUAGCCGGCCUGAGAGGGUGACCGGCCAGCUUGGGACUGUGAUACGGACCAGACUCCUACGGGAUGCAGAAGUGGGGAAUAUUGCACAAUGGGCGGAAGCCUGAUGCAGCAACGCCGCGUGCGGGAUGACGGCCUUCGGGUUGUAAACCGCUUUCGCCUGUGACGAAGCGUGAGUGAAGGUAAUGGGUAAAGAAGCACCGGCUAACUACGUG